GGUUGGUGCAAAAGUAACUGUGGUUUUUGCCAUUGAAAGUAAUGGCAAAAACCACAGUUACUUUUUCAUGAACCUA
rnacentral:miRNA from 1 species